rnacentral:rRNA from 1 species
UAUGGCGACCGGCGCACGGGUGAGUAACACGUAUCCAACCUGCCGAUGACUCGGGGAUAGCCUUUCGAAAGAAAGAUUAAUACCCGAUGGCAUAGUUCUUCCGCAUGGUAGAACUAUUAAAGAAUUUCGGUCAUCGAUGGGGAUGCGUUCCAUUAGGUUGUUGGCGGGGUAACGGCCCACCAAGCCUUCGAUGGAUAGGGGUUCUGAGAGGAAGGUCCCCCACAUUGGAACUGAGACACGGUCCAG